GAUGAACGCUGGCGGCGUGCUUAACACAUGCAAGUCGAACGAUGAAGCCCAGCUUGCUGGGUGGAUUAGUGGCGAACGGGUGAGUAACACGUGAGUAACCUGCCCUUAACUCUGGGAUAAGCCUGGGAAACUGGGUCUAAUACCGGAUAGGAGCGUCCACCGCAUGGUGGGUGUAGGAAAGAUUUAUCGGUUUUGGAUGGACUCGCGGCCUAUCAGCUUGUUGGUGAGGUAAUGGCUCACCAAGGCGACGACGGGUAGCCGGCCUGAGAGGGUGACCGGCCACACUGGGACUGAGACACGGCCCAGACUCCUACGGGAGGCAGCAGUGGGGAAUAUUGCACAAUGGGCGCAAGCCUGAUGCAGCGACGCCGCGUGAGGGAUGACGGCCUUCGGGUUGUAAACCUCUUUCAGUAUGGAAGAAGCGAAAGUGACGGUACCUGCAGAAGAAGCACCGGCUAACUACGUG
rnacentral:rRNA from 1 species